GUGCUGGAAGGCAAGUUGGUUGCGUCACUAGUCGAACUUUGUUCUCGGCUAAUGAGUGACAAUAUACUCGACGCCCAAGGCAAUCUAAGUCAUCUUCCAAGUGGGGAGUUCGUUUUGGGUUUUCCAAAACGAACGAUCUGCGGCAACAUCGGGAAAGACGCGGCGUCAACGAAAGUCGUGCCACGUCUCGAUGCUGUUGACCCGUCUCCUGAUUUUGGAUCUCUUGUUUCAUUUGCCUAUGAUAUUCGUUAAAUGAUGUGGCUAUGGUAGGUUGCUUGGUGAUCUUUGUUCGACUUUGAUCUAAGUUUUAAGCUUAACCGGUUUUCUUCACGAGGCCCGCACGAUCGGUCUUAUUGUAUGGCAUGUUCUUGUUUGAUUGUUGCCUUAUGAUUGGAUUGUUAGUGUGACCGAUGACAUGAUGUGACUUGUUAAUCUUAAAACUUGUGGUGGCGAUUUGGCAUUGUUGCAUUUGUUGAUGAGUGUUGUUGAACGGUGAUGCAAGGGUUCCUCGCAUCGUUCGGUGCAUUCUGGGGUCA
rnacentral:misc_RNA from 1 species